CAGUCGCCACGGGAAUACGUAGGUGGCAAGCGUUGUCCGGAAUUAUUGGGCGUAAAGGGCUCGCAGGCGGUUUCUUAAGUCUGAUGUGAAAGCCCCCGGCUCAACCGGGGAGGGUCAUUGGAGACUGGGAAACUUGAGUGCAGGAGAGGAGAGUGGAAUUCCACGUGUAGCGGUGAAAUGCGUAGAGAUGUGGAGGAACACCAGUGGCGAAGGCGACUCUCUGGUCUGUAACUGACGCUGAGGAGCGAAAGCGUGGGGAGCGAACAGGAUUAGAUACCCGCGUAGUCCCUGUCUCUUAUAC
rnacentral:rRNA from 1 species